rnacentral:rRNA from 1 species
GGAUGAACGCUGGCGGCGUGCUUAACACAUGCAAGUCGAACGAGAAGUGAAGACGGAAACCUUCGGGCGGAAGGCUUUAUUUCGAGUGGCGGACGGGUGAGUAACGCGUGGGUAACCUGCCUCAUACAGGGGGAUAACAGUUGGAAACGACUGUUAAUACCGCAUAAGACCACAGCACCGCAUGGUGCGGGGGUAAAAACUCCGGUGGUAUGAGAUGGACCCGCGUUCGAUUAGCCAGUUGGCGGGGUAACGGCCCACCAAAGCGACGAUCGAUAGCCGAUCUGAGAGGAUGACCGGCCACAUUGGGACUGAGACACGGCCCAAACUCCUACGGGAGGCAGCAGUGGGGAAUAUUGCACAAUGGGGGAAACCCUGAUGCAGCGACGCCGCGUGAGUGAAGAAGUAUUUCGGUAUGUAAAGCUCUAUAAGCAGGGAAGAAAAUGACGGUACCUGAGUAAGAAGCCCCGGCUAACUACGUG